AUGUUGUAUGAAAGGAAAAGAAGUUAACCUUCCCCUUGAUAAGUGUGGAAGAGGUCCUAGUGAACUUUACAACAUAUACAUGGUGAACUUAUUGCUACCUAUUCUGUGGCAUCUGCUUUUUCUUUUU